rnacentral:rRNA from 1 species
AGUCGAGCGGACAGAAGGGAGCUUGCUCCCGGAUGUUAGCGGCGGACGGGUGAGUAACACGUGGGUAACCUGCCUGUAAGACUGGGAUAACUCCGGGAAACCGGAGCUAAUACCGGAUAGUUCCUUGAACCGCAUGGUUCAAGGAUGAAAGACGGUUUCGGCUGUCACUUACAGAUGGACCCGCGGCGCAUUAGCUAGUUGGUGAGGUAACGGCUCACCAAGGCGACGAUGCGUAGCCGACCUGAGAGGGUGAUCGGCCACACUGGGACUGAGACACGGCCCAGACUCCUACGGGAGGCAGCAGUAGGGAAUCUUCCGCAAUGGACGAAAGUCUGACGGAGCAACGCCGCGUGAGUGAUGAAGGUUUUCGGAUCGUAAAGCUCUGUUGUUAGGGAAGAACAAGUGCAAGAGUAACUGCUUGCACCUUGACGGUACCUAACCAGAAAGCCACGGCUAACUACGUGCCAGCAGCCGCGGUAAUACGUAGGUGGCAAGCGUUGUCCGGAAUUAUUGGGCGUAAAGGGCUCGCAGGCGGUUUCUUAAGUCUGAUGUGAAAGCCCCCGGCUCAACCGGGGAGGGUCAUUGGAAACUGGGAAACUUGAGUGCAGAAGAGGAGAGUGGAAUUCCACGUGUAGCGGUGAAAUGCGUAGAGAUGUGGAGGAACACCAGUGGCGAAGGCGACUCUCUGGUCUGUAACUGACGCUGAGGAGCGAAAGCGUGGGGAGCGAACAGGAUUAGAUACCCUGGUAGUCCACGCCGUAAACGAUGAGUGCUAAGUGUUAGGGGGUUUCCGCCCCUUAGUGCUGCAGCUAACGCAUUAAGCACUCCGCCUGGGGAGUACGGUCGCAAGACUGAAACUCAAAGGAAUUGACGGGGGCCCGCACAAGCGGUGGAGCAUGUGGUUUAAUUCGAAGCAACGCGAAGAACCUUACCAGGUCUUGACAUCCUCUGACAACCCUAGAGAUAGGGCUUUCCCUUCGGGGACAGAGUGACAGGUGGUGCAUGGUUGUCGUCAGCUCGUGUCGUGAGAUGUUGGGUUAAGUCCCGCAACGAGCGCAACCCUUGAUCUUAGUUGCCAGCAUUCAGUUGGGCACUCUAAGGUGACUGCCGGUGACAAACCGGAGGAAGGUGGGGAUGACGUCAAAUCAUCAUGCCCCUUAUG